rnacentral:rRNA from 1 species
AUUGAACGCUGGCGGCAGGCCUAACACAUGCAAGUCGAACGGUAGCACAAAGGAGCUUGCUCCUUGGGUGACGAGUGGCGGACGGGUGAGUAAUGUCUGGGAAACUGCCUGAUGGAGGGGGAUAACUACUGGAAACGGUAGCUAAUACCGCAUAACGUCGCAAGACCAAAGAGGGGGACCUUCGGGCCUCUUGCCAUCAGAUGUGCCCAGAUGGGAUUAGCUAGUAGGUGAGGUAAUGGCUCACCUAGGCGACGAUCCCUAGCUGGUCUGAGAGGAUGACCAGCCACACUGGAACUGAGACACGGUCCAGACUCCUACGGGAGGCAGCAGUGGGGAAUAUUGCACAAUGGGCGCAAGCCUGAUGCAGCCAUGCCGCGUGUAUGAAGAAGGCCUUCGGGUUGUAAAGUACUUUCAGCGGGGAGGAAGGUGAUACGGUUAAUAACCGUGUCAAUUGACGUUACCCGUAGAAGAAGCACCGGCUAACUCCGUGCCAGCAGCCGCCGUAA